CCCCACCGGCUCAUGCCGCCAUAUCCUCGCGGUCACGCGGGAGGGAGGGCCACCUGUGGCGGCAGAGGCGA
rnacentral:tRNA from 1 species